rnacentral:piRNA from 1 species
UGGGUAGGACUCAAUGCCAUGUUGGAUGCAA